UACGAAGGGGGCUAGCGUUGCUCGGAAUCACUGGGCGUAAAGGGUGCGUAGGCGGGUCUUUAAGUCAGGGGUGAAAUCCUGGAGCUCAACUCCAGAACUGCCUUUGAUACUGGCGAUCUUGAGUCCGGGAGAGGUGAGUGGAACUGCGAGUGUAGAGGUGAAAUUCGUAGAUAUUCGCAAGAACACCAGUGGCGAAGGCGGCUCACUGGCCCGGUACUGACGCUGAGGUGCGAAAGCGUGGGGA
rnacentral:rRNA from 1 species